rnacentral:rRNA from 1 species
AUGGACGCCUCCGCCGCCGCCGCCGAAAUCGCUGCCAACGGGGUGCUGGCGAAGCUGGAGGAGGAGAGGGAGGCGCAGAAGAGGUACUGGGAGGAGCACUCCAGGGACCUCACCGUCGAGGCCAUGAUGCUCGACUCCCGCGCCGCCGAUCUGGACAAGGAGGAGCGCCCCGAGAUACUGUCUUUACUUCCUUCGUAUGAAGGAAAAUCAGUGCUGGAGCUUGGUGCUGGAAUAGGUCGCUUUACUGGUGAACUGGCUAAGACAGCUGGGCAUGUCCUCGCAAUGGAUUUCAUUGAAAGUGUGAUAAAAAAGAAUGAAAGCAUAAAUGGCCAUUACAAAAAUGCAUCCUUCAUGUGUGCUGAUGUUACAUCUCCGGACCUGGUGAUUGAGGAUAACUCCAUCGAUCUCAUAUUUUCUAACUGGUUACUGAUGUAUCUUUCGGACGCGGAGGUCGAGAAGCUUGUAGAAAGAAUGGUUAAAUGGCUAAAAGUUGGUGGCCAUAUCUUCUUUAGAGAAUCAUGUUUCCAUCAAUCUGGAGACUCAAAAAGGAAAGUGAAUCCGACACAUUAUCGUGAACCAAGGUUUUAUACUAAGGUAUUUAAAGAGGGCCAUGCCAUUGAUCAGAGUGGGAGCUCCUCUGAACUUUCUCUACUUACGUGCAAGUGCGUUGGAGCUUAUGUGAAGAACAAGAAGAAUCAAAACCAGAUAUGUUGGCUAUGGCAAAAAGUCAACUCAUCAGAAGACCGGGGAUUUCAACGAUUCUUGGAUAAUGUGCAGUACAAAACCAGUGGAAUAUUGCGCUAUGAGCGUGUUUUUGGGCAAGGUUUUGUGAGCACUGGUGGAAUUGAGACUACAAAAGAAUUUGUGGACUUGCUGGAUCUUAAACCUGGGCAGAAGGUGCUUGAUGUUGGAUGUGGAAUCGGGGGUGGUGAUUUUUAUAUGGCUGAAAACUAUGAUGUUCAUGUUGUUGGUAUUGAUCUGUCCAUAAACAUGGUUUCAUUUGCACUCGAGCAUGCCAUUGGACGCAAGUGUGCAGUAGAGUUUGAAGUAGCUGAUUGCACCACGAAGACAUACCCAGACAGUACGUUUGAUGUUAUCUACAGCCGUGACACCAUCCUCCACAUACAAGAUAAACCCUCUUUGUUUAGAAGUUUUUUCAAAUGGCUAAAACCUGGGGGUAAGGUCCUAAUCAGUGAUUACUGUAGGAGUCCAGGAAAACCAUCUGAAGAGUUUGCGGCAUACAUUAAGCAGAGAGGUUACGACCUUCAUGAUGUAGAAGCUUAUGGACAGAUGCUACAGAAUGCUGGUUUCCAUGAUGUCAUUGCUGAAGAGCGCACUGAUCAGUUCCUAAAAGUUUUACAGAGGGAGCUAGCUGAAGUUGAAAAGAACAAAGAUGAAUUUCUGGCCGACUUUGGUCAGGAGGACUAUGACGAUAUUGUGACUGGGUGGAACGCGAAACUUCAGAGGAGCUCUGCUGGUGAGCAGAGGUGGGGGCUGUUCAUCGGGACCAAGUGA